rnacentral:rRNA from 1 species
AUUGAACGCUGGCGGCAGGCCUAACACGUGCAAGUCGAGCGGAUGAAGGGAGCUUGCUCCUGGAUUCAGCGGCGGACGGGUGAGUAAUGCCUAGGAAUCUGCCUGGUAGUGGGGGAUAACGUCCGGAAACGGGCGCUAAUACCGCAUACGUCCUGAGGGAGAAAGUGGGGGAUCUUCGGACCUCACGCUAUCAGAUGAGCCUAGGUCGGAUUAGCAAGUUGGUGGGGUAAAGGCCUACCAAGGCGACGAUCCGUAACUGGUCUGAGAGGAUGAUCAGUCACACUGGAACUGAGACACGGUCCAGACUCCUACGGGAGGCAGCAGUGGGGAAUAUUGGACAAUGGGCGAAAGCCUGAUCCAGCCAUGCCGCGUGUGUGAAGAAGGUCUUCGGAUUGUAAAGCACUUUAAGUUGGGAGGAAGGGCAGUAAGUUAAUACCUUGCUGUUUUGACGUUACCAACAGAAUAAGCACCGGCUAACUUCGUG